GAUGAACGCUGGCUACAGGCUUAACACAUGCAAGUCGAGGGGAAACGACGGGGAAGCUUGCUUCCCCGGGCGUCGACCGGCGCACGGGUGAGUAACGCGUAUCCAACCUGCCUCUGACUGAGGGAUAACCCGUCGAAAGUCGGCCUAAUACCUCAUGGCAUCGUCUGCGGGCAUCCAACGACGAUUAAAGAUUUCAUCGGUCAGAGAGGGGGAUGCGUCUGAUUAGCUUGUUGGCGGGGUAACGGCCCACCAAGGCGACGAUCAGUAGGGGUUCUGAGAGGAAGGUCCCCCACAUUGGAACUGAGACACGGUCCAAACUCCUACGGGAGGCAGCAGUGAGGAAUAUUGGUCAAUGGGCGAGAGCCUGAACCAGCCAAGUAGCGUGCAGGAUGACGGCCCUAUGGGUUGUAAACUGCUUUUAUGCGGGGAUAAAGUGAGGGACGUGUCCUUCAUUGCAGGUACCGCAUGAAUAAGGACCGGCUAAUUCCGUG
rnacentral:rRNA from 1 species